UUUUGUUUAUAUUUGCUUUUGAUUUCUAAGUGGAGUGACAUACAAUGAUUUUGCACCGACGUUCUAAUUCCAACAACAAUUUUGUGUUGAGACUGUGGAUGAAUAUUAGUUUCAGUGUUUUAAUCAAUAAAUCAUGAUAAUAAGGUAAUAAAUUGGUCCAACAUUAAUUAAUUAUUCAUAUGUGAACGUGUUCCUUUGUGCGAUGCUCCUUUUGCUUCUGCAAGUAAAAU
rnacentral:lncRNA from 1 species